UUCAACAGCGGAUCUCUAGGUUCUGGCAUCGAUGAAGAACGANNNNCGCACCGAAAUGCGGAUAAGUAGUAUGAAGUGCAGAAUUCAGUGAAUCAUCGAAUCUUUGAACGCACAUUGCGCCCU
rnacentral:rRNA from 1 species